GUAGGUGGCGAGCGUUGUCCGGAUUUACUGGGCGUAAAGAGCGCGCAGGCGGUCGUACAAGUCGCGUGUGAAAUCCCCCGGCUCAACUGGGGUGGGUCACGCGAUACUGUUCGACUCGAAGGCAGGAGAGGGAAGCGGAAUUCCCGGUGUAGUGGUGAAAUGCGUAGAUAUCGGGAGGAACACCAGUGGCGAAGGCGGCUUCCUGGCCUGUUCUUGACGCUGAGGCGCGAAAGCUAGGGGAGCAAACGGGAUUAGAUACCCCGGUAGUCCUAGCCGUAAACGAUGGACACUUAGGUGUUGGUGGUAUCAACCCCGCCAGUGCCGAAGCUAACGCAUUAAGUGUCCCGCCUGGGGAGUACGGCCGCAAGGCUA
rnacentral:rRNA from 1 species